rnacentral:lncRNA from 1 species
UUUGGCUGAUGUGUGGCUUGUGGUUCAUGAGAGCUUGGAGCCACCAGACCAUGGCUCACCCCACUGGGAGCAGGGGCUGUUGGUGUCCAGAGCUGCCAGCUGAUGCCAGGGCUGCGAGGAAGGUGCUGGAGCUGCUGGAAUCAGUGUUAUGUACCACCUCAAAACCCAGCUGUGUGUCCAGCCAGCCAUCCCUACAGUGUAGCUGUAAUUUUCUUAAAAGCUGUUUGAGACCAAAUUACCUGUGUAUCUGCUACAGGGGUUUAAAAGUGUUGGCAUGACAUCCAUGAGGUGAGAGAGGAGAGGUGGUCCUCUGCUCUAUGAUUUCCAGCCCCACACUCCCAUGUCCAGUGAACAAAGCUGGGAUGCCAGAUCCAUCUGCACAGUGAAAGCAGGAGAUACCCGGGAGCACCAAUACCUCCUUGCCAAAGUGUCCAGAUGCUUUUCUGGGUCUGCAGUGGUGGAAGCCAACUCCUGGAGCUCUGCCAAAGUGGACAUGGGUGAAACCCUGCAGUCAGGGGUCAUCAAUGGCAUCUUGCUCUCCCUCAGGAUGGAUCAGGAUCAGAUUUUACCCUGCCCUGGAUUGGCUUUGCAACAUUCACCAUGCCGUUCUGGAGGAGACAGCUUGCUGUCACCAGCUCUGGUCUCCAGCUAACUGUGCCAUCCUCAGUAGCUGCUGCACGUCCUGUCUCCAUGAAGCAGGGCUGGGUCUCAUUCCACAGGCACGGGCCUGUCACUGUGCCUCCUACUGCAUUCCAUGAUCCCUUCUCCACAGGGAAAAGGAGACCUGGUCAAUUCUACUGGCGCUGAACUGACUCCUAAGAGGAAGACAGGGUGGGAGACAGAGAGGAAGGCCAUCCUGGAUACCUAACAUCUGGGAUGAGGGAAGUCUCAAGGGCCCCAUGGUUCAGUUUUUAAAUCUAACUUGCAUGGCAGUGGGAAGUAUCCUUCAUGUCUUAGAUUCCAGACACUGUAAUUGGAUUUCCAAGCUUAUUAGUCGGUAGUGUGUGUUUACUGCAAAAGCCACUGAACCUGGCCUUCUUUUCCUGGGUAUCAGUGCCUUGCUGAAAAUGUACUUUCUAAUAGUAAGAGGUGUGCCACCAUGUGGAUCUUAAAAUGUAUUUUAAAGCCACAUUUGGCCUUCAGUGAGGAAAAGGUGAUCUAAUGGACUCUUCUUGGCCUGAUGUCUAUGAAUCCUUUCACAGUUUCCCAGGACACUCGGUGUGUUUGCUCAUGACGCUCCUGCAGCAGCAGUGGGCAGGGGCUGUGGUUCCUGCAGGGAUCUUCACCCCUGUCUUGCAGCCCAUCCCUCUCUCCUGCCCCAGGGGCUGAUUCCCACUGGCUGGACCAUGUCCUGGCUGCCUCCAGCUGAGACCUCCCUGGGCUAGUGCAAAUGAGGUUGCUGCAAAUCGCAUAAUGAAAAUUACUUCAGAUUUGUGCCAAGUUCAUUUCUCCCUCAAGGUCAGGGGACACUUUUUAUCCUGAACUCGUUCUUUCUACAUGCUGCCCUUUUUUAAACUGUUCUAGACUGAUGUCAUCCAUGCUGGUCUCAGCUAGAGGAGUAAUCUUCGUGGAAACUUUGAACAAAAUCCCCUCCACAUAUUUCAAAUGGGAGAGUGGUAAAAUAGACUUUGAUAAUUGUUAAAAGUAUAAUC